rnacentral:rRNA from 1 species
UACGUAGGGGGGCAAGCGUUGUCCGGAUUCAUUGGGCGUAAAGAGCGUGUAGGCGGCCAGGUAGGUCGGUUGUGAAAACUGGAGGCUCAACCUUCAGAGGUCGACCGAAACCAUCUGGCUAGAGUCCGGGAGAGGAGAGUGGAAUUCCUGGUGUAGCGGUGAAAUGCGCAGAUAUCAGGAAGAACACCCGUGGCGAAGGCGGCUUUCUGGGACGGUACUGACGCUGAGACGCGAAAGCGUGGGGAGCGAACAGG